CAGAUAAUUGGACCAGUUUGGUAAGUCACUGGGUUACCAUUGCGGUCAACGUAUUUGCCGUUCGACUCCAUGUUACCUUGC
rnacentral:tRNA from 2 species